rnacentral:ncRNA from 1 species
AAGAGCCGUAUGUGGUGAAAGCCACACGUACGGUUCUGUGGGGGCGAAGCGGUGGUAACACAGCUUAGCUACCCGAC